AGUGAACGCUGGCGGUAGGCCUAACACAUGCAAGUCGAACGGCAGCACAGUAAGCGCUUGCUCUUACGGGUGGCGAGUGGCGGACGGGUGAGGCAUACAUCGGAAUCUAAUUUUUCGUGGGGAAUAACGUAGGGAAACUUACGCUAAUACCGCAUACGUCCUACGGGUGAAAUCAGAGGAUCUUCGGACCUUGCCCGAUUGAAUGAGCCGAGGUCGCAUUAGCUAGUUGGCGGGGUAAGGGCCCACCAAGGCGACGCUCCGUAGCUGGUCUGAGAGGAUGAUCAGCCACACUGGAACUGAGACACGGUCCAGACUCCUACGGGAGGCAGCAGUGGGGAAUAUUGGACAAUGGGCGCAAGCCUGAUGCAGCAAUACCGCGUGGGUGAAGAAGGCCUUCGGGUUGUAAAGCCCUUUUGUUGGGAAAGAAAAGCAGCAGGUGAAUCUCUCGACGUUCUGACGGUACCCAAAGAAUAAGCACCGGCUAACUUCGUG
rnacentral:rRNA from 1 species